rnacentral:rRNA from 1 species
UUGCUCUUCAACGAGGAAUUCCUAGUAAGCGUAAGUCAUCAGCUUGCGUUGAUUACGUCCCUGCCCUUUGUACACACCGCCCGUCGCUACUACCGAUUGAAUGGCUUAGUGAGGCCUCCGGACUGGCUCCAGGAAAUGGGCAACCGUUACCAGGAGCCGGGAAGCUGGUCAAACUUGGUCAUUUAGAGGAAGUAAAAGUCGUAACAAGGUUUCCGUAGGUGAACCUGCGGAAGGAUCAUUACCGAAUUUGAUUAUCUUCUUUCUGUGAAUUUAAUAAUGACUUGCUUCGGCGGGUGUUAUGGUUGAUUGAUGACUUCUUUUUGAGUUGUCUCUUUUCUCCUUACCCGCCGAAAGGUUAAACUCAACAAAUUAUUUUUUGUCUAAACAAAUAAAACUAAUAGAUCAAAACUUUCAGCAACGGAUCUCUUGGUUCUCGCAUCGAUGAAGAACGCAGCGAAAUGCGAUACGUAAUGUGAAUUGCAGAAUUUUGUGAAUCAUCGAAUCUUUGAACGCACAUUGCGCCUUGUGGUAUUCCACAGGGCAUGCCUGUUUGAGCGUCAUUUCUCUCUCACUAACGUGGUUUUGUUGUAUCUCUCUCUUUUAUUAGAGAGAGUGCAAUGAAAGGAAAUGGCAGUGCUUCGAAGUUUGCCAAACGUGUUCUAGGUUGUACCAACUACACUAGUAAGCGCUUCAAUAAGCCGGCUUGAUAAACCUUUUAUUAAGUUUGACCUCAAAUCAGGUAAGAAUACCCGCUGAACUUAAGCAUAUCAAUAAGCGGAGGA